AACGAACGCUGGCGGCGUGCUUAACACAUGCAAGUCGUGCGGGAUAGGGGUUUCGGCCCCUUGAGAGCGGCAGACGGGUGAGUAACACGUGGGUAAUUUGUCCUUGGGUGUGGAAUAACCAGCCGAAAGGUUGGCUAAUACCGCAUAAGACCACGGAGCUACGGCUCUGCGGUAAAAGAUUUCGGUUGCCUGAGGAGGAGCCCGCGGCCGAUUAGCUAGUUGGUGAGGUAAUGGCUCACCAAGGCGACGAUCGGUAGCUGGUCUGAGAGGAUGAUCAGCCACACUGGUACUUAGACCCGGACCAGACUCCUACGGGAGGCAGCAGUGGGGAAUAUUGCGCAAUGGGCGAAAGCCUGACGCAGCAACGCCGCGUGGGUGAUGAAGGCCUUCGGGUCGUAAAGCCCUGUCAGAUGGGAACGAAUGCUCUUGAGGUUAACAGCCUCGGGAGGUGACGGUACCCUCAAAGGAAGCACCGGCUAACUCUGUGCCAGCCGCCGCAGUAAAAC
rnacentral:rRNA from 1 species